GCUUUGCCUUUAUUCUGAGGAACUCUCUCGUGGUUUUCUGGGGGCCAUUGGUUGAGUUGCAGUGUGUGACCUUGCUGGCAUCUCACCUGUAUGCAGCUCCUAACGAAGCUGUGGCCCCGGCUCUGCAUGCUCUCCUCCCAGAUAUUUUGCACCUGGUGCCACCGGCCCCCGCUUCAAAGCAGGGCUCUCACUACGAGCUGGGCACGCACAUCCAGCGGUGGAAUUUGACACUAACAAAUGAACUCUCAUUAUUUUCCUGCGGAACUGAGCCUCUGUUGCCACCGUGCGGGCGUUUGGCAGAGAGCUGCUCCUCAGCCUCAGCGCUGGGGCAGCAGUGAUGUCCCUGCAGUCCGACUGCCCACAGCCACCCCUCUGCCAUUGCUAUGAAUCGGUGCUAAUUGCUACCUGUGAGCAAUGGGCUGUGCCACCGCAGCUCCUGCGCCCGAGGAGGAAGGAGAGGAAGGAGUGUUUUCUGGGAAUCCUUUGCUUCUGCUGCCCCAGCUCUGGAAGCAGGCAGCCUUCAGCUGCUGGGGCUGUUAAUGUCACCUUUCCCAAGUGCUACGCUUGCAAAGCAACCUGCCAAGUAUAGCACGUCUUAAUUUGCUCCUUUCCCAUGCAUUCCUGGAUUUACAGCUUGGUUUCGUCUGGCUGCUGCUUGCUGGGAGGGGUGAAGCCCCUUCGGAGGGCAGCUCUGAGCCUUGUGGGUUCCCAUGCUGCUCCCUGAAAAGCAUCACCUAAACAGAAGCUCAGGUUUGAUUGGGCAGAAACUGAUCUCCUGGCAUCGCUUAUCUAUGCAAUGAUUGCACCCAGCAGGCUGCUGUCCCAGCACCCGUACGUUGUUCUGUAUUCUCUUUAAAUGUUUUUUAGGUAGUGCGGAUUUGGCACUGCAGUAAUAUGUGUAAAAUGAAAAAAAGAAAAAAAGAAACAGCGUAGGAAAAAAUGCAUUUUCAGUGAUGCCCGUGCUGGGCUGAAAAGUACAUUUGAAGUCGCUUGCCAUCUGCAGCAACUUGUCCAAAGCAAACAUUACCCGUCGGGCCAGGUCUGGCUGCGUAAUUGCCAUAAACCAUCACGAGGGCAUCCAGAAUAGCACAGCCCUGGAACGACUUCGAGGAUUAGGUCCUACUCCCUUGAAAAAUAAACCUUGGCAAAAGCUCAGCUCUCCCUAAUAAAAAUUCCAUUUUCACAGCUCUAAUCAAGUUUUCCAGAGCCGCAGUCCAAAUUAGGAUCUGCGUGCAGAAUAUCCGACCCAGGAGAACGGGAUGGAGCUUUGCAUGGGAAGCAGUGCCAGGCUGGAAAUUUCCAAAGUGCUCAACAGUUCA